UACGAGGGGGCAAGUGUUGUUCGGAAUCACUGGGCGUAAAGGGAGCGUAGGCGGGCUCUUAAGUUGGAUGUUUAAAACCGGGGCCCAACCCCGGCGUGGCAUCCAAAACUGGGAGUCUUGAAUGGAACAGAGGCUAGUGGAAUUGGAGGUGUAGCGGUGGAAUGCGUAGAGAUCUCCAAGAACACCCGUUGCGAAGGCGGCUAGCUGGGUUCACAUUGACGCUGAGGCUCGAAAGCGUGGGGAGCAAACAGG
rnacentral:rRNA from 1 species